CUCUUCUUCUGUUUUCUUCAGGGGGACCCGGCAGCCCGACCACAAUUGCCAGAGGAGGGACCCCAGAAGGUCCUGAGGGCUUGACAGCAGCACCCGGCAGUGAGAGCACACGUGGAGACCUCGGCGCCCCAGGCACGACCUUGGGAGGCAGAGCAGGAACCACUCUAGGUCUUCGGAGUGAACCUUCUGGGACAGGUGUUGGCGGGAGUCCGUUUGCCACGACCCUGGAAGCUGGCAGCGUGGGCAGGACCUCAGGAGGCCCCGGCUUCACCAGUCCUGGGCGCGGAGCAGGUGAGUGGAGUUCAGAAGCCAGGGUCGCCUCCACCCACGCCAAAGCGACCGGCAUGGGGCCACGCUGCUGAUCACGAUCACGGUUGACAAGCCAAGGACACGUGAGCCCUUGGCUGGAGACUUGUGGGCCCUGAGAGACUCUGGCAGCAGGUGUGUACCUCUGCAUCAUGGUCCAGAGAGGCAACGUGGGACGGGACCGCUCCUGGGGAUUGAUGCCCUAAGGCGGGGCCGGCCGUGGUCUUGCUGGGUUGGG
rnacentral:lncRNA from 1 species